AGUGAACGCUGGCGGUAGGCCUAACACAUGCAAGUCGAACGGCAGCACAGUAAGAGCUUGCUCUUACGGGUGGCGAGUGGCGGACGGGUGAGGAAUACAUCGGAAUCUACUUUUUCGUGGGGGAUAACGUAGGGAAACUUACGCUAAUACCGCAUACGACCUACGGGUGAAAGCAGGGGAUCUUCGGACCUUGCGCGAUUGAAUGAGCCGAUGUCGGAUUAGCUAGUUGGCGGGGUAAAGGCCCACCAAGGCGACGAUCCGUAGCUGAUCUGAGAGGAUGAUCAGCCACACUGGAACUGAGACACGGUCCAGACUCCUACGGGAGGCAGCAGUAGGGAAUAUUGGACAAUGGGCGCAAGCCUGAUCCAGCCAUACCGCGUGAGUGAAGAAGGCCUUCGGGUUGUAAAGCCCUUUUGUUGGGAAAGAAAAGCAGCAGGUUAAUACCCCGCUGUUCUGACGGUACCCAAAGAAUAAGCACCGGCUAACUUCGUG
rnacentral:rRNA from 1 species